rnacentral:RNase_P_RNA from 11 species
GGAGGAAGCUGGGCAAUUGCCCCGCCAGUUGGCGGGGAGGAAAGUCCGAACACUCUCCGCCAGUUGGCGGAUCAACUACUCCGGGUAACACCCGGCCGCCGUAAGGCGAGCGGUGCGAACAGAGACGAGCCCCGAAGGCAACUUCGGGGGUGAAACGGCUAAAUCCGUGUAGAGUGCAAGAGUGGAUCAGAAGAGCUGCUUUCAUGCGGAGCUUCUGUGAAAAACAACUCGCUUGAUCCGUGCAGUAAUGUACGAGACAGAUAGAUGAUUGCCCAUUCCGCGAAAGCGGGAGGACAGAAUUCGGCUUAUAGGUUUCCUCCGACA